UGUUCCGUGCAAUGAAUCCACAUGUUAUUAAGAGACAGCGUGAGAAGAUUACAGAAGGAGCGACCAUGGCUGGGAUGCUUGGAUAACCAGCAGGAUCCUUUGGGGAAACAAAAUACUGGAACUUCACACCAGAGAACUAGCUGUCCGUUUUGAGCCCCUCAGGUUCAUUUGUACCGUCAGAUCCUUCUUGUACCUGCUUCUGAGCAAUGCGUUUGCACUGUGUUGGAAAAUCAGG